GUGGAGAAUAUUAAAGUACACAAAAUAUGAAAUGAUGAACAAAGCAUUAGAGGCAUUUGGUGAUCUUGGUGAUGACGAGGAACUAGGACCUGUUGACUGGCCUACAGUUAAAAAAUAUAUUGCAAGUCUAACUGAUGUAGAGGGAGAGCAAGUCCAUCCUCAUACACAGUCCCAGACUGAUGAUAAGCUAGAUUCUAUGAAUCUUAAGGAUAUACGCAUACGUUUCUUGAAUGGUUAGAUUCCUUCUUACUUUUUUCCUUUUGUCUAUGUUUGUGUAAUAUUAUUAAUUAAGUGCCUUCUUUUAAAACCUCGAGUUUUUGAAAGAUAGCCAUCCAACAGAGAGGUAAAAAUUAAAACUCCGGUUUUCCCCAUCUUGUUUGCCACUAUGUAUUGAAUUCAAGUUUUGGAACUCUUCAGGACAGAGGUUAGGUGUGUCGGGUGGUGUCACACCCCCAAACUUUGGAACUUUUAUAAAAUUAGUCUUAUAAAUUGUCUUAGUUUCUUAUUAUUGUAAAUAAAACCUGAAAUUUACUAUCUCCCCCUCCCAAAAUUUGUAUAAAUGUGAAUUAUAUUUGAACAUCUUGAUAAAAUGGAUUGGCACAAAAAAUUAUGAAAUUAAAAUAACAUGUAAAACACAUUCUUCUACUUUUCGAGUUUUAUAUAUUCAUAAAUAAUAUAUACUCCCUCUGUCCCCCUAGGUAGUUUACCUUGAGGGACGAGAGUUUGGCACGCAUUUUGAUGCUUCUAGAAAACAUAGUUUUGUAACUUAUUUUUUAUAUUUUUUUUUCUUUUGAAUGAAAAUUUAAUGUUUGAAUUUUUAUACACAAAAGAAAAUCUCAAAAAUAAAUUACGGAACUAUGUUUUAUAAGAGCCUUAAAAUGCGUGUCGAGCGGUGAAAAAAAACUAUAAAGAAAUGAGAGGGACGGAGGGAGUAGUACAAUUUUAAAAUUUAUAAUAUCGAUAUGGCCCUCCCUCUCAAUGUUAUUAUUGACUCAUCCGUGCUACCCUUGUCCGCUCCUUUCCGAAGUAGUUUUUCAAGUGAGGAGCUUAAAAAACUCCAAUCCAACUCUAAGGAACACACUUUACUAAUUUUAGAGCAUUAUAAUGUACAAGUGCUCUCCAAUUCAACUUUAAAACUAGCAUCAUUUUGGUGCAAGUAAAUAGUGUUACACCAAAUUUGGCAAUACUAUUCAUUUAGGGUAGUUUUUACAUCAAGUUUUAGGUUUUUAAAAUUUCAAUUAUACCGUAGUACUCAUUAAUUGCAAUUAAUUCAAGCUGAUGAUGUCUUAACAAGAUUAUUUCUUUUCUUAAUAGAUUUGUAAUUGCUUAUGUAAUUAGUAUAAACUAAUCUAUAAUCCUAUUGGUUUUAUAAAAUAAAUUGAUUUAUAGCGAAUUAGUUUUAAUAAAUUGUAGGCCUUACCAUUAGUAAUAUUUCUCAGAUGUUGUGCCAUUUUGGUAUAUGGGAAUAGUGGAACUCUUACCCAAAAUAGUGAAUUUUUUAUUAUAAGCCGAGGCACAGAAGGUACUAAAUUGUUGUGUUUAUGUAUCAGUAUGCUCUCUCUUCACACUGGCAAAGGACACUUUUUAUCAAAUGUUAGUUUUGAAAAAAUUUAAAGGGUAUAUUGAAUAUUGCAUUACAAGGAAACCAAGGGAUAUCAUUCUUUUGUGAUAUGUAUAUACUUAUGCUGUCUUCUAUACUUCAUAAUCACAAUAAUACAGUGAAACAUAUUAAUCUGUGAAGUUUUUAUGUACAAUUUCGAAAAAGUGUUAAAAUAAAUGUGUGCAUGGGAGUAAUGGUAUUCUAUACAAUAUAUCUCUGUUUUUUGUUUGGCGUCUAGCCUAUAGUGCAAGGCAAGCAAGGAAUAUGUAUGUUGUAAGGACACAUGGUUUAUUCAGCUCACUUUUUUUUUUAAUUCUCAUGACUCGUUUUGUUUCUGAUAUGAAGACCCUUUCAAUAUAGGUGUGCAAGCUGCUUAUUGGGGUAUGCUAGAAGAGGGAAGAAUAACACAAACUAUAGCAAAUCUUAUGAUGCAAUCUGUUGAUGAAGCAUUGGACUUGGUAUCCCAAGAGCCUCUAUGUGACUGGAAAGGAUUGAAGGCAAAUGUACAUUUUCCAUCCUAUUACAAGUUUCUCCAGACAGGAUUGUUCCCGCAGAAACUUGUUACGUAUUUCACUGCUGAAAGAUUAGAAUCAGCAUGCUACAUUUGUGCUGCGUUUCUACGCGCCCACAGAAUUGCACGUCGGCAGCUACAUGAAUUUAUUGGUAAAAUCUUUAUACAAGGGUCUGUAAAUGCUUUUGUUAUUUGCAAUUUCUUACCUAUAUUUAUAUUUCAUACCUGUAUUGAUAUUUAUGAAUUCAUUUCUCAACCUUCAAUUUUUUCCUGCUCCUAAUAUUUCGCAGAAAAACAUACUUUAUACAGUUUUAUUUGGAGAAACAUAUCCUGAUUUCUGAGUUUUAAAAAUCAGUAUGACACUUUUACUAUAUAUUCAAUUUUUUCCCAUUCUAAACUGCAAAUUUCUGCACUGACCAACAUACCAUGUGUUCCAAACUAGUUUAGUUUAAACUAUGUAAGUAUUCAAACUCAGAUAAAUAUUUGUUGUCUUUCUGAUGAUUUAAUUAAAUAAUAUCCAUAUACUUUGUGAGAAACACAUUUAAUAAUUACUGUAUUGAUAAAGUAUUCCUGCUGAAAUUAUAUUUUCUUUAACUAACUUGACAUCAAAUUUUUUCUGUCGUCUAUCUGUUAGGUGAUAGUGAAGUUGCAUCUAGUGUUAUUGGUGAAAGUGAGAUAGAAGGAGAGGACGCGAAGCAAUUCCUUGAGGACGUUCGUGUAGCUUUCCCUCAGGUUCUUUGGAGUAACACUAUCUUUGAUUGCUUUGCUGAUUAAUAUUUUGAUUAUUCAUUUCCAUGACAUAAUACUUGGGCUGAAUUAUGUGCACAGCAAGUCAGCAACAUAUUAUGCUUAAGGGUAGCUUUGAUUUUAUCUCUACCUUUUGAGGGCGGGGAGGAUUUUUAAAUUUUAAUGUAUAUUGCAUUUCAGGUUCUGCGUGUAUUGAAAACAAGACAGGUUACAUAUUCUGUAUUAAAUCAUUUAAUUGAUUAUGUGCAAAAUCUUGAGAAGGUUGGAUUGCUAGAGAAAAAGGAGAUGGUUCAUCUUCAUGAUGCUGUACAGGUAUUCUUUAGAAGUGAAACUUUUUUCCAACAAGGAUACAUACUAUGUUGGUCUGCUUGUCCAUGUUAAUGAUUUCACCUUAUAUGUUUUCAUACUUUUCCUUGCUGACAUGUCAAUUCCACCCUAGAUGGACUUGAAGAAGCUCUUAAGAAAUCCUCCUCUAGUUAAGAUUCCUAAAGCACGUGACCUAGUCAGUCUUAACCCUUUCUUGGGCGCUCUUCCUCCCACAACUCGUGAGUUACUUGUAGGUUCAACUAAAGAGUCAAUGAAAGUACGCGGUACAACACUUUACAAGGAGGGAUCCCAGCCAAAUGGCAUCUGGGUUAUUUCGAAUGGUGUAGUGAAGGUAAAAGCAUUAUUUACAUUGAUUUCAUGAUGAGAGCUACCAAAAUCUAUCAUGUUCUACCUGAUGUUUUUACUAGCACCAUCACCGUGUUAAGAAAGAAUCUUUUCUUGUGGCAGUGGGCGAGCAAGACUAUAAAAACUAAGCACUCUUUGCAUCCAACAUUUACACAUGGAAGUUCACUGGGACUGUAUGAGGUGUUGAAUGAAAAGUCUUACAUCUGUGAUAUGAUAACAGACUCUGUGGUUCUCUGUUUCUUUAUUGAAGCAGAAAAGAUACGUAUGCUUCUCAGAUCAGAUCCAGCAAUAGUGGAUUUCUUGUGGCAGGUUUGUUCAUUACUCAAAAGUCUCAACAUAUUUGUAUGAAUGUAGAUUAGUUCGGCAUCAAGUCUUUUGAACUUGGCUAUAAGGUCAUAUUAAAAGCUUAGUAAUCUGUAGAAUGUAGAGCUAUAAGUAGCAGCUUUGGAUUUUUUUAUUGUUCUUUCCACUUUCUAUUAUUAAAUGGCAGUUUUUGAAUACUUAGUUAUCUUAUCUCUUCAGGAAAGUGCAAUUGUCCUUGCUAAACUCUUGCUUCCACAAAUAUUUGAGAAAAUGCCAAUGCAAGAAAUCAGAGCUCUUGUUGCUGAGAAGUCAACAAUGAGUACCUAUAUUAGAGGAGAAAGUAUUGAACUACCUCCCCAUUUCAUGGGCUUGUUAUUAGAAGGAUAUAUAAAAGGACAAGGGACCCAGGAGGAACUGAUAGCAUCUCCAGCAGCACUGUUGCCUUGGUAUGGUGAUAUGAGCUUCCGGGGAUCAGAUGUAUCAGGUAAAGCAUCUAGUAAGAUGUUUGACCAAUCCAUUAGUAUGUUACUGCAUUUGAUCAAGUACUUUCUUAAUGAACAGUGGAAAGAAAUGUUAUGAGAAAACCUCAUGGUUUAUAAUAAUCAGUUUUUAGGGAAAAAGUUUAUUUACAUUUUUUUAUUAAUUGAAGUUAAAGUUGUGGCAUUUAGAUGUGAGCUCUUUGUUUGAUUUCCUAAUCAAAUCUGAUUUUGAUAGGCAUCAAGUCCACCAGCUUUGUGCAUCAAGCAUCUUGUUAUCAAGUGGAGACCAGAGCAAGAGUUAUCAUGCUUGAUUUUGCUGCUUUUGAAGCUAACAGAUCCCUUCAGAGAAGGUCGUCUUCUUUGGUUUCACAUACAAAAGAUCAUCCCACUAGAUCCUUAAGUAAAGAACAUUGUGGUCUCAUGAGUUGGCCCGAACAGUUUUACAUGCAAACACAACCUAGUGAGCAUCGUAUAGAAGAGACUGACAAAAUUGGUAGCAAUCUAUCUGUCAGGGCAAUGCAGCUAAGCAUGUAUGGCAGCAUGGUAUGUAUGAUAAUAUCACUAUAUGAACUGUUUGUUUAAAUAGUUGUUUGUGUUUAUUCAACUUAUUUAGUUGUUUGUGUUUAUACAACUUGUAUACAUGAUUUUUUACAUUUGCUGGUCUAUAGUACUUGUAUGAGUAAUUACCAUGUCUCUUGCAAGACUUGAAUUCCUACAAUCAUUAAAGAAAAGAAAUGCCAAGUACAGGACUAAAGCCCUUUGUGUUGGUUGGGAAAGCGUAUGGGUCGUUUAUCUCAACUUUGUGUAAGUGUUUGUACAUCAGACGUAAAGAGACUUCUGAAUACACCAAUUCCUUGGUCCCAAAUUGAAACAAAUUUGGAGUUUGUUAUACAUUCUAAACUCUUUUCAUAUGCGUCUGUUUUCACCUUUUUGCUUGCUACUUUCAACUAACUUUGUCUGUCUUGACUUCCUAGAUUGACAACACCAGACUACAUGCACAGAGUUCUCGUGGAAAUAAUGAGAAGUCGUCUCACAGCUUGUCAUAUCCAAGAGUUUUAUCACCUGAAGGGCAGCCUCUUGUCUAUGCCAAGUCAGAAGGGGCUGCUACUUUUGGGAAAAUGCCCACUACUGCUACGUCGGGGAAGGUACCUGAUGGUAAAACUCCAGUACCGAGUUCUAGCACAACAAAAACUCAUGGAAUGGAUUACUCAAGCGACGAAUCUGGCACUGAGGAUGAACAUAUUGUUAGAAUUGAUUCACCAAGUACAUUAUCUUUUCCGCAGGUUCAGUAGUCUAAUUUUUGGCGUUCUCAUGUACAUGUGUUCACUAGAGUAGACAGCAUAUAUAUAGAAUAAGUAUCCUAGUGAAAAAAAAAAAUGUAAUAUAAGGCGAGUACGGGAUUGUAACAUCAUGAAUGUUACUUUGUUUUGUUUUGGGAUAUUCUCAGUAUCAUCAUUUGCACAACCGAUUUUUGUAACUGAUACCACUUAUUUUUACUCAUGGUACUCUUAUACUUGUGCUAAUAAAAGGUCAGAGAAAUCUUAAAAAGUUUCUAAACAACUUUAUCGUAUUUUAGCUAAUAAACUAUUGGGGUGUUGGCCUCGCAUCACUAUUUAGCAGCAAAAGGUUAUUGUUGUCAUUUUCUGAAAAAAUGCCCCCAAACGUAACUUCAAAACGUAACUUAUACAACUUGAAGUCGUAUUUUUCUUAGAAAAAUCAAAACUCAACUAUGUAAAGUUGCAUCUGAUUGCGGAUCAUAUUUUUACAAAUAUUUUCAAAAGAUAGUAAAAUCGCAAUUUUUUUAGAAAAAGUGGUAAUUUUGAUGAAUUUCCAAUUAUUUAUUUAUAUUUUUGGAAUAUAUAAUUAUAAUGAUAUUUAUAUCAAAAUAGUCAUCAAUUAAAUAUUUAUUAAGAUUUAUUUAUUGAUGUAUUUUUGAAAUAUAUAUUAUAAAGGUAUUAAUAAUAAAAUAGUCAUUCAUAACACUUAAGCGUGUCACGUGACUCGCUGUCGUAAAUUUACUAAAUUUUCACUAAAAUUUUAUGAUAAAAUUGCGGGAUAAAAUUUUUCAAUAGUUGAAAGUAUAUUAUUACUAAUAAAAAAGUUAAGUUCCUUGAAUCCUCAUCUUAGUGAAGUCUUGGAGUCGUCAUUCUUCAAAAUUAGAUAAAAUAUAAUCUGGUGAUUUCAAAUUUAAUUUUUUUUAUUUUAUAAUAUUUUUAAACAUCCAACAAGUUCAAGAUUAUAUUUUACAGCGUAAUCGAUAUGCAUAACAAUUGCUCUUAUAAAUUGCAGGACGCUAUAUUCUAUAAUAUGUUUAAUAUGUCGUGUGAUUUAUAAAAUUAAUUAUCAUACAUGUUGAUUAUGUUGUAGAACAAAAUAUUUAACAUGUCGAAUGUUUAAAAAUAUUACAGAAUAAAAAAAUUUAAAUUGAAAUCAAUAAAUUAUAUUUUAUCUGAUUUUGAAGAAGAAGUUGUUCAAGACUUCAGUGAAAUGAGUACUUUCAUAAAACUUUACUCUAAAAAUAAAUGACAAAUUAUAUGUUAUGAAAACCAAAUUAACCACUAAAUCAAUUUGAAGAAAAAGAAAAUUCUCUUGUUUCUUAUUUUGAUGGAGACGAACACACUCUAGAGUCACACACUCUACAUCUUCAAACUGAGUGCAAGUAGUGGAGUAUUUCUGGAAGGCGAAAAUGUCGGGGAAAGAGAGUGAAACAGCCAUAUUAUUCGUGGGAAUAUCUCUGUUGUUAGGAAUCGCGUCACGUCAAUUACUUAAAGGAACCAGGGUUCCGUACACCGUUGCGCUUCUUAUUAUUGGGAUCGCUCUCGGCUCCAUUGGUAUAUAUACUUUUACUUUAUCUUCUUUUUCCAUGCAUUUUGAGGGGUGUAUUCGAUUGGGAUUUUAAUGGAUUGUUUUAGGUCUAUGGAUUUUAAUGGAUUGUGUCUGAUUUUGAUUUUGUGCGGAUUCUUGAUAAAAUGUCGCAGAGUUGAUAGGAUUUAAGCACAAUGCUUCAAAAUCCCUUUGCUUUUGAUGGGAUUUCAAAAAACUUAAAAUACACUGAAGAAUGCCACAAAAUCCAUCAUUUUAUGAAAUGCAAAAAAAUCCAUCUGCAUUUGAAUACCAUCAGAUUUUAAUGGAUUUUAAACAAUUUCAAUUGAAUACCAUCGGAUUGUAAAGCAUAAUUUAAAAUCUCAAUUGAAUACCACCAGAUUUUGUAGCAUAAUUUGAAAUCCCAAUUGAAUACCUCAAGAUUUUAUUGGAUUUCAAACAAUUCCAAUCGAAUACUCUCGGAUUUCAUAAAUGCAAAAAAAUGCUUUAAAAUCCCAAUCCAAUACACCCCUCUUAACUACUCGACUUUCGGUCGUGCGUGUUUGGUUCAGUGUUGAAAUCAAUAUAAUUAUUACUCACUCCCUCCGUUCCUCUGAUUUCUAUGCACUUUCGUUUUCUGUCUCAUUCAAUUCUAUACAUUUCAAAACUUUCCUAAAAUAGUAAACUUUUAUAAUAUAAUAAUCCCACUCACCUACUACUUCCAUCUACUUUUUCAAAUCUAUGCAUGGGUCCCACCACUUUAACUACUUUUCUUUCUCUUUACUUUAAACUACUUUAUACACUUUUCUUAGUCUCCGUGUCCAAACUACUUUAUACACUUUUCUUAGUCUCCGUGUCCAUUCCAAACGUAUAAUUCCAGAGGGACGGAGGAAGUAAUUUUUUGUUAUUAGUGAUAGUUUGGUUGUUUAUAUUAUUUUAAUAUUAUAAUUAGAAAUGUCAGUCAUGAAGAAUAAAUGGUGUUGGACCCGGAGAAAAAAAAAUGUAGCAAGUAGCAUGAAUGUACAAAAAUGUAUAAUGUGGGGGUGGGGUAUUCGGGGGCUGUGGAAGGAAUGAUUCGCCUAUCAUGAGAGAAUGGGGUUCUCAUUUCAUGCAACAAAAUUACUAAUAUAACACCAAGACAUGGGUACAAGGUUCCGAUUCGCGUUAAUUGGACUUAUUAAUUAUGAACCACACACCCCUUAAUUGAUAGAUUAGGAAAAGUGAAUGAAAGUAGUGGAUGUGAGUAGUAAUCAUAUUAUAAAAGUUUUGAAAUAUUUAAGAAUUGAGAGGAACAUCCCAGAAUGGAUGGGAAUGAGUGAGUAAUAUUUUAAUUGAUAUCCAUACCUUUCAGUCACACACCUCCUCCUUGGUUUUAAAAAAGGGUUUCAGGUAAAUGAAUUAUUUAGUGCUUGUUUGGUUGCAGUCAGUGUUAUCGAAAGCAUUAAGCGCAUCGAGGCGCAAAACUCUCUAGAGCCUAGGCGCAAAGCGCAAAAGCGAGGCGCGCGCUUCUUUGAAGCUAGGCGCAUGUUUUACAAAUUUUUUUAUUUAUUAUUUAGAAUAUAUGUAUAUAGGUUUAUAACAUAAUUUAUACUUCAUAAUAUAUUAAAUCACACUUUAAGCCAAAAAUAACUUAAUGUAUCCUUUAUAAUAUAUUAAAUAAUACUUUUAGAGGGAAAAACAAUCCUAAAACUAAAUAUUAAAAUUCAAAAUUUAUGUUUCAUAGGCAAAAUUCCAGGCUAGUACUUUUUUUUUGGCCUAAAAUUCUCUUUUUUGUUAUGGGUUAGUACUUUUGGGCCUUAAAAGUGACCCAAAAUUCUUUUUUUUGUUAUGGCUUAGUACUUUUGGGCCUUAAAAGUGGCCCAAUAACAUUAAAUAUCUUAUUAUGCGCUCAGCUUCGCUAAAGCGCGCUUUUCUACCGCUUCGUGCUUAAGCGCGCUUUGUGCUUCAAGGCUAAAAGCGUGCGCUUCAUUGAAGUUGCUUCGCCUCGACAUAUAUGAGGCGCUAAGGGUGCGCUUUGCUUCGCUUUGCGCCUAGGCGCUCGCCUAGGCGCGCUUUUCACAACACUGGUUGCAGUAGUUUCCUGGUAAUUAAAAUUCCUAAAAUCCGUAGGAAGUGAAUAAAAUUGUUUGGUUGUUAUAUAGGAAUUUAAAACUAUAGGAAUUUCUAAUGACCAAGGGUGGGGUGGGUUAAUAACUUCCUACGAAUCAAUAGGUAUUCAUACUUCCAUGGAAGUUGCUCUUCCCUUACUUUUGUCAACCAAACAACUUCAUUUGUAGCUACUCUCCAGGAAGUUGAAAUUCCUAGGUCUUGGAGAGGAAACCAAGCGAGCACUUAGUUUGGUGAUUUUAUAAGGUGGUGUUUGGUAAUGUUUUUUAAGCAUGUUCUCUACUUUUUAAAAUUGUUUUUAAGAGGUCGUUUGGUUCGCGGAUUAGAAUGAGGAUUCGGGUUAAGGUGGUACGAGGUUCAAUUAUCAUUCCUGAUAUCAUGUGCUUGGUUAAAUGUGUUUGGUUAAGUGCUGAAAUCAAUAUGUUUUUGUUAAAAUAUCUUUUAGUCAUUAUUUUUAAUUAAUUCUAGAGGAAUAACAAUCUUGAGGUGUGCUUUUAAGCUUUGAAGGAGAUAGAAUAAAAGAAGAGGACAUGUCUAUGAAACCAAUCAUCCCCAAUGUAGGAAAAUUUGAAGAGAAGGUAGAGCAGACAUACAAAGCUCGAUUAAAUACCUUUCUACCACUUUGUAUCACAUAUUUAUCUCAACUUUUUUAUUCAGUUCCUCUAUAACUCAUGGACGCACUUAAAGGAAUUUGUUGAGCGGAUUAGAAUUAAAUAUAUUUGAUCUAGUUAAGUCACUCUUAUGAUAUCCUAAUCUUUGGGAAAGUUGGCGAGUUGAAAUGGUGUUAAAGUGAAAGAAGAAGGUCAUAUUAUAUUAUAGAGAUGAUCUAUACUUAAUAUCUUGCCAAGAUAAACUGUUUCACGUUGUCUUGCUUUAAAGUUCUUUUUAAUUUUGCUAAUUUGAUUAAAGUAUAUCUGUAAAAGUUAUGCAAAGACAUGUGAUUGAGCUUCUUCUGGUAUGAAUGAAACUAACAAAUUUAUGCAUAUGAUCUUGUAUUAUUCUGUAAAUUGACUUUAGGCAAUAACUUUAUGUGUUGUGGAUAUUAUAUUUGAAUAAAUUUAUACGCAGAAUAUGGUACACAUCAUCAUUUGGGAAAGAUUGGAGAUGGCAUCCGACUUUGUAAGUUAAAUCUCACCUUAGAUAAACUUAUACCUGUGUCACUAUAUGAAAGUUGCGUCUUGAUGCUUACAUCAUUCACUAGAAAUAGUGAAAUACUGUUUUUAGAAGUACAAAUAUUUGACUUGCCUAAGGUUAUAAAACUAGCUGCUGUCUUAAUAUUAUCAAUCUUCAGGGGCAAAUAUUGAUCCUGACCUUCUGCUAGCUGUUUUUCUACCUGGUCUUCUUUUCGAGAGUUCAUUUUCGAUGGAGGUGCACCAAAUAAAGGUUACUUCUCUUUACCAUAUGUCUAUUUAUUUAUAGUAUACUUUCAUCUGUUUGUAUAUUCUUAUAGCUGAGCACAUGUGGCACAGUAGAAAAGAAGAUAAUUUCUUUUCAUUUAUUAGAAUAUAAUAAUUGGUGAUCAAGUAUAAACAAAAAAAGCAUUUAUUUGCUUCCAAUACUUGCAUAACUACUUUGUUACUUGUCAAAUGUCAUGUUGUUUCCUGAAGCAAGUCUGCAGAUGUGAUAUAAGAUGCUAAUUUUUUGGCCUGCUGUAAGUGUAUCAUUCAAUUGACAACAUCAUGAGCCAUGGGAAAGACAUUUCUAAAACUUGGGAAUAGAUUGACGUUUGAUUAACCAUAAAUGUCUCGGGAAUUUAGACUGAUUUAGCUCUUUUAUUGAAUGUAAUGCAAUUAAAUGUGUCAUUUCCCAGAAGGCCUGUUCUGUUAGAACUUGGAAAAUCCCUAGGUGUCACCUCUAAUGAUGUGUCUCUCUGGCGAGUUAGUUCAUUUAGUCAGUGCCUUGACUUCUUACAGCUCUAAUAAGUGUCACAAAUUUUAUUGGUCAGCCAGCACAUUCAGAUUAUUUUCUUUUGACCAUCACCUAUAUUGCAAUGGUAUGUUAGUUGUCACUCCUUGUCCCCCUGUGAUUAGGCAUCUUAAAAAAUGAUUUUCUGUAAGCUUACUUAUGCACUGGGUUAAAUUGUUAGAUUGAGUCCAUUUAUAUUGAUUAAUGGUAUCAUUUUCAGUGAAUGAGUUAAUCACAUCCUCUCUGCUUUCUAGAAAUGUAUGGCACAAAUGCUUCUACUUGCUGGGCCUGGUGUAAUAUUGUCAACCUUCCUCCUUGGAGCUGCCCUAAAGGUUUGCUGAAUUUUGGCAUAUACAAUGCAUCUCUUCAUUACUUGCUGAUAUAGUAAAUAUUGCUGCAGCUAAUAUUUCCCUAUAACUGGAGUUGGACGACCUCAUUGUUGCUUGGAGCACUACUAGGUGCUACUGAUCCUGUUGCUGUUGUGGCCCAUUUAAAGGAGCUUGGUGCAAGUAAAAAACUGAGUACUAUAAUUGAAGGAGAAUCAGUGAUGAAUGACGGGUAUCAAACCUACUUGUCCGCGCUUAUCUAUUUUGUUUUUGUAGAUAUCUUUUGUUUUACCUGUUGGUUGACGAAAGUUGUGUGUUGCCAAUAAGGCAACAUGAUAACAAAAAUUAUGCACUAAACAUCAUGUUGCUAUGAUUUAUUUUAUUCUUUGGUGUAAUGGUCAUUUGAAUCACCUUUUCCAUAACAUAUCUGCAUAUACUUUAGCAAGCAUAUCUGUUUUCACCUUCAGAAUUGCAAUUGUGAUCUUCCAACUAUUUUUUCGAAUGGCCACGGGAUCAGGCAUGAAGUGGGCUGCUCUUGUAAAAUUUUUGGCACAAGUUUCUCUUGGAGCGUAGGUAUACUUGCUCUUAGUCAACAUUAAAAACAUAUAAACUUGUUCUAAUUCAAUUAUUUUUUGUUCAGUGUAGGCAUCGGUAUUGCAUUUGGGUUGGCAUCUGUUUUGUGGCUUAAAUUUGUAUUCAAUGACACGGUGAUAGAGAUUACACUAACACUUGCUAUGAGCUACAUUGCUUACUUCACUGUAUGUAACGCUCAACCAAUAAAUUAAUACAUUGAUCAUAUCAUAAAAGCAUUCAUGCUUGUCAACCUGAAUAUGUUUUCUUUUAGACUUACUAUUCUGUCACUGAUCCCGCAAUCAAGUGCACUAGUUCAAACAAAUAUAAUUUGAAGAACUAGGUAACCAUAGGUUCCUUAAACGUUUUUACUUUAAUGUAGCAGAGAUAAAACAUCGGUUAAUGACGGGGCUGUUGGUAUGGAUUACUGAGCUGAAUCGAUAUUCCUUGUAUUCCUAAAGUAUAGGUGACUUAUAAUUCAGCUGAGUUGCUACUUGUGUCAUUAUGUUUCUUCAUCAAACCUGUGACUUUUAUUUGCUCGUUAAUUCCAUUAAGAUUAAAGAUUAUACUUAUCUUCGAGAGUAUAGUGUUUAGAUGCGACAUUAGCUCAAAUUAUAUGUAGUCUUCUCCUUGUUUUUCAUUAAUUUAUCUUCAGUUUUUCUUAUUAAACGUAUAAAAUACUUGGGAUACUUAAGCCCGUGAUUGAGCCCAUGCACCCUUGUAGCAGUUGCAAAUCUAUUAUCGAAAGAAAAAGCAUCAGUUUUGGACAAUCAAAUUUGUCAAACAUUUAUCGUACCAUCCUGUGAUUUCUGGAAUAUGAAAGAAGGCCUGUAACUAGUGGUUGAAGGAAGCUUUUAAAGAUAGUACACUGUCCUGUAUCUUUUGAAGACCUAUCUAGAUCUGUAGCAUACUGCAUAUAUUAUAAUGUGUGUAUACUAAACUAUAGCUUCUCUAAGAUAUUAUCGGGUGCAUAGGUGUGGUAAAGCUAUGGGGACUUAGCUAUGGCAUUUAUUUUACUUUUCUCAGUGAGUAAUUUUUUUUAGGAAACUAGAUGAUUGAGUUGGAUUUUUACUUUGUUUCCUUCAUGCGAAAACUUAACAUCAGCUCUUAUAUAAUAGGCUCAAGAGUGGCUUGAUGUUUCUGGUGUCUUGACAGUUAUGACGUUGGGAAUGUAAGCCAGCAUUUCACCAAGUUUCGGUAGGGUGUAAUUAAAUUCAUAUUUUAAAAGCAUCAUUUAUGCUCAGGUUCUAUGCUGCAGUCGCUAGGACCGCAUUUACGGGUGAUGGUCAACAAAGCUUGCAUCAUUUUUGGUACCACUCUUUGAUGUUUAAAUUAUCUAGCUCUUGACCAUAGUGAUAGUAGGACACCAGUACACCCACAUGGCCACAUAUAAAUAUAAACUAAAUUAAUCUUCUACUGGUAGAUUUUAUAAUCUGUUCCUCCUAAUAUACCCGUGUUUGCACAAAUAUUGAGGAGUACAAAACUGGGUUCCAAAUGCAUAUACUUUGCUAAUAUUUUGCGACAUGUUUAAGUAGCUAUGUCUGAUGAAUUACUCAGGUGCAGAGGCAGUAAUAAAAUGGCAAAAUGGAUUUUUUUGUCACUCAACUUAUUGUGUCUUUGGAAACUUACCACUUAACUAUAAUUUUUUUUAUUUUACUCACUAAUGUUAGGUUCAGUUUUUUUUUUUUGUCACUGAAGCUAGGUUCGGACUUAAUUAUUAGCAUUAUAUUAAUUCUUUUUAGCAUUAUUAAAUUAUAGUGGUAGUUUGUAAUAUAUUGAUGAUUUGAUAUAUGUCUAUAUGUUUAUAUGUAGUACUUUUUAUGUCCCCAAGGUCGUUUACCUUGGGUGAUAAGAGUUUGACACGCAUUAUUUUACUGCUUUUAAAAGAUGUAGUUUCAUAAAUUAUUUUAUUUUUUUCUUCCGAAUAAAAAUUUAGCAUUUGAAUUUUUGUACACAGAAAGAAAAUCUCAAAAAUAAGCUAUGAAUUUAUGUUUUAUAAAAGUCUUAAAGUACGUGCUAAGUAGUAGAAAAAACUGUAAACAAAUGAGGGACGGAGGGAGUAAUAAUAACAUAAAAUGAUGCAUUAUAAAGGACAAUCAUCGGACCUCUCUAUUUAUUUAUCUUUAUCUUGAAAAUUGUAAUAAGAUAAACUUAUUAAAAUUUAUGAAGAUAAAUUUAAGAGAGGCCUUAGGCUGAACUAGUCGAUUGAAACGUUAAUAGUGAAAGAUGAUGCAUCGAAUCACUCAAUUAGACUUUAUCAGGAAGGAUGAAUUGUUUGAAGUCAUUGAUUCCAUAUUGACGAUUUAAUGAAUUUAUAGAAUUCUAAUUACGAUUGUUCCUGAUUUUAAUUUUUUAUCGGCUCAUUUAAUGUUAUUAUUGCUAUAUAUAAAGAUAUAAACAUAUGUCACAUCAUCGAAAUAUUACAUACUAUCACUAUGUAUUAGUGAUGCUACAAAAAAUAUCACAAUACUAGUAAUCAAAUCCGAACCUAAGUUAGUGACUAAAAAAAAUCCAAACCUGACAUUAAUGAGUAAAAGGAAAAAAAAAAUAGUUGAGUGGUAAGUUUCUAAAGACACAGUAAGUUGGGUGACAAAAAAAUCUAUUUUCCCUAAUAAAAUUUCUAUUCAUUUAUUUUAUUUACAAGAUCUUGAAUGAAAAAGGAACGUAUUUAGUUCUUCAUGGACAUUGAACACCAAAAUCUAGGAUAUAGUUAUUUUCACUUUAACUUUAAUCAUGGAAAUUAUGAUUUUCAACCUUAUGUAGCUUGGAAAUUAGCUUGAAGCGGAGAUGUCAGAACACCAAUUUUUAUAUGCUUCGUUAAACUAAGAACAUAGUACUUUAUGUUCUAUCAGAUAAUACUAGGCUAGUAUUGAAUCCUACAACUUGACUUUUGCCCUAUAUUAUAUCUAUCAAGUUUACCCAAGUCUGAUUACAUUCUUUGACAAUUACUAAUUGUAAUCGCUCACAUAAAUAAUAAUUAGUACUAUAUAGUAGUAUGUUGCAAUUAAACACAUUCUUUUUCUGGUUUCUCAAACCGGGCCUGGUGUUCAGUCUAGUUGGCUGCAAUUGCAUCUGGUAUGCUAUAUGGUUACACUUCAAAUAACCUAUUAUCUUUAGUACAGAACCAUUAAGCUGUUGAAGGAUGUAAAACGGGAUGUGAUGCAUCUCAGGCACUUCCUUGAAGGGAUUAUUACUUAUUUAAUUUCAUAUAUUAUUCUUUCAAGGCAACACAUAACUGGUUACUCCAGUGUUUAUUGAAAAUAAAGAAAUUCUCAAUACAGUUGGCAUAAUAUAGUAGAAGUAUCUUCUUUAACCUCUUCAAUGUUAUUGUACUUGCCUUUUUUCGAAGGUUCUUUUCGUAAAUGCUUAAGCGUGUCAUCUCCAUUUCUAAGAAAUUCAAUCUAACUAUACUAAAUAUUUUUCUGCUACUGUUUUCAGGGAAAUGGUUGCUUAUAUUGCCAAUACAUUGAUUUUCAUUUUAAGGUAUAGUUCUUAGAUGUUACAUUUGUCAUAUACUAAUAAAUUUUAUCAAGGUGGUAAUGAUUCUGAUCAAUGCACUGCACAUAUACUAAUAUAUUUAUGAAGGUAGUAAAGUUUCGGGUCCAUGCAUUGCAUGCAACAAUCAUGUCACAUAUGAUAAUAAGACAUUCCCUCUUCUGCUUCUUCUCCGCUCUCCAUCUUAUAUAUUAUUAUAUGUAGUUAAAUUUUUUAGUACUAAAUAUCCAUUCAGAUUCUAGGUAAAAUAGUGAAGCACCAUCCACAGCCUUUCUCCACAAUUUGGAUAUUUAAUGAUUUGGUCCAGAUAGAGGGAAAUUAUUUUGUCCUAUAUUAUAAGUUUACAAUGUUAUUUACCCACAAAUAUGGAGGUACUUGAGAAGGUCUAUAUGUCCCAAAUAAUUGUGUAUCGUGAAGACUUAAGAUAUUAAUGAAGUAUUAAUGAAAGUGACGAGCACAGUAUUAAACACUGGUCUAUUUUAGCUACGCACAACCUUCGAUUCUUAAUGAAUGAAGAACUUGAGCUAUCAAUGACAUGUGAUAUAAUUAUAAACACAUUUCUUUCUUACACUCCUUCGCCCAGAAAAUAUAACAAUCAGUUCCCUCCCGAGUCAUGACGCACAUUAAAGUAAUACAGUUUGAUGGUAAAAUUGUGUUAAUAUCCUUGUUUUACAAUUGCCACGUGUCUUCAUUUUUUAAUUUUUUUAAAUCGUUUGUUUUCGCAACACAAUAAAAUAGUAUGCAUUUAUGUCAUCAAUGUAACAUCUUUUAUUUGAUGUUUGCUAAAGGGUCAAUUUUUUAGCAUAUUAGCUAGAGUCAUCUAAUAUUAUAUAUUGUGUAUAAAAUAUAUCUUCAAGACUUUUCUUAUUAUCUUUGCAGUGGGGUUGUUAUAGCUGAAAGUGUUCUCGGAAACACCACUACCUUUAAAAGCCAUGGUACGCUUUGUCUUUUAUAUAUCUUCCCUCAUGCAUCAUGUAUAACUAUAGGUACAUAGUACUCCCUCCGUCCCGAUCAAUAGUAUACAUUGGGGGACGGGGGCGCGGCACGGACUUUAAUGCUUCAAUGUAGUAUAGUUCUGUAAAUUAUUUUUAAGAUUUUCUUUUUUUGUAUAAAAGUAUAACAUUUAUACUUUUAUACAAAAAAAGAAAAUCUUAAAAAUAAGUUGUAGAACUAUGUUUUAUAAGAGCCUUAAAAAGCGUGUCGAGCAGUGAAAAAGAAACGUAUACAAUUGACUGGGACAGAGGGAGUACAUGUUUUUAUUUAAAGUUGCAAAUAGAGAUGUUUACCUUAAGCGCCGCUGAAAUAUAUCUUUUCUUGACACCAAGCACAAAUAAGAUAGUUUUUAGGUAACCCAUUUGAAUGAACAUGCAAAAUAUCACUAUAAAGUUGUAGCAUAGGUUUUAUUCAAAAACUUAACAUCGCUCAUUGCCCUUGAUAAAUGUCUUUUUACAAAUUUGAUUAUAUAAUCAAAAGUUGUGUUGACAUAUUGUAAUGCUAAUUUUGUCUUUGGUUAGAGCAAAUGAUUUUGGGAAUAGGGGAUGGAAAUAUGAUCCUAGCAAGCCCUCCUCCCAAAACCUCAAAGUUUUAGGAGAACUAGUCAGUUAACAUGAUAUUAGAGCUUAAGUUUGUGGAGGUAUCAAGUAUGACUCUUUAUCACGCCCAAUAUUCUCACAAUAUAAUAUGGACACGAAGGCAUUAAUUGGCCCAAAAAUGGGCAUUAAUGGGAAUGUUGAAAUAUAGCGUAAGAUCCAUUUGGGCCUUUCUUCAACAUCUUAAGGUUUUAGAUGGACUAGUUCUCAACAUGGUUUCAGAGCUGAAUUCACAAUAUAAUAUGGACACGAAAGCAUUAAUUGUCCCAUAAAUAGGCGCCCGUGAUCCACUCUUCAACCCGGCAAGAAACCGAACUGGUUCUCAACGUCUCGCACACCUCUGCUUCUCUAUGCACCCUACAUCCCAUAACUCUCUUCCAAAGUUUUAUUGCCUUUGUUUGUUAUAAGUUGGCACAAGUAUGCUAAGUUCCCACUCCUUUGACAUCAUGGUGGUACUAAUAAUGGUGUUAAAGCGGGCCAAUAUCCCUAGUCGUUUCCAUCCUCCGAAAAGCUCCUUUCUCUCCCUCCCUACUCCUUACCGAUAAAUCUAAUAGAAUAAAGUUCUGCGAAACAUAUCAGACUUCUCCUCACUGAUAAAACUAAUAGUCCUGCAAUCAUGUGAAACAUGCCAACCUUCUCCUCGCUUCAAUAUUUACUCAAGCUCUUACUAAUUUGAAAAUUAAUUUCUCCUUCUGCGUGGUGUCUAGAUGCUUGUACCUAUUUUUGCUGCCCAUCUCUUGCUCUUGUACAAUUCUUUCUUCAUUUCUUCUCUUUUUCCUACUUUGUUCCCCUCUCUCAACCAAUAUUUAUAUUAUUAAAACCACGAAUCCUCCUUUCAAUUUCAAAAACUUCCAGAUAUUACCCUAAAGUACCAUUAGCCACAUUCCUAAUUAUAAUUGUUUUAAUAUUCACACUCAUGUAGGGGUGGUAAUUUCGGGUUUGGGAUUGGGUUCGUGUUUGUUAACGGGUCAAUUUUGGUCUAGCAAAAAUCAGUAACAAUUGGAUGGAAUUGAAUAGCUAUGUGUAAACAAAUAACGGGUCAUUUCCGGGUUUUGUCUCAGUAAAUCGUGUUGUGAAUGUUUGGGAUUCUUUUAUAACUUAAAAUUUAAAUAAGAGGGUAAUAAAGUUUUACAUCAUAUUAUUUUGUAUUUACAUAUCUGCCCUUCUAUAACAAUUUGUAAAUGUGGCACGUCUGAUGUGCUACUAGAUAUGCAACAAAAGAUUCAUGCUGCCAGCAAAUAGCUUGAAAAAUAAAUGCCGCCAGCUACUAGCCUGAAAUAUUAAAAUAAUGACCUCUCAGCUGAUGAGCUGCAUGGAUUAACAAAAUAAAUUUCGACACCAUAAAUGCAACAGAAUAACUUAUUAAUGCACAUUAAAAAGGCCAGAACCCAUUUUCUUCCCACUGCUUGGCAAUUUUGAAGCAUUUUGUCUGCAGAGUCCUGUCUAAUCAUUGCAUUUCCUGUAAUCCGCAUUUCAUGUUUAUGGGUCACUUUUUUUUUGACGUAGUAAAGAGCUCAAUAGGCCAUUAAGAGGCGUUCUAGAACAUAUUAUUCAAGUAGACGCUUAAUCAGACCCCUCCGAUCUAUGUCUCCUAAGAGCUUGAGGAAAAAAACAGUGUAGAGGUCUCCUAUUGCACAAGAGGGCACCUUAUAAAUCUAAGUGGCAAAAGUGCCUGAGAGAGAAAAAAAACAUGGGAGAGGCUUCCUAUCGUGUGAUAGGUAAAAGUAUCUAAAUGGGGACUGCUAGGACAACGCUAUCACUAGCAUAGUUUUAUUACCUUUACACUCGUCAAGAUGUGGCUGAUCCUUUAACUAUUAAGGAUUAAGAAAAUGGUAUGAGUUGUAUGACACGGACGGAAACUGUGCAGAUGAUUUUUUAGUUCCGUUGGAAGAUAAAGUUUGCAUGCGGAAGCAUUGCAAGAUGUCCAUUUAAUAGAGUUUCAGAACAUUAAAGCUAUACACUUUAAGGCUGAAGUUGACAUUCUAUUGGUACUGAAGUUCAAUAAAAAAGAAUCUAAGUACACUUAUUUAAAUAUGAUAUUUCUCAAAAUAGAACCACCGUGUCUCUUGAUUAACCUUAUAUAUUGGAAGAUUUUAAGAUAACGGUGUUCCUUGAGCCAUAUUAGUGUUCUUUGUUCGAUAAAUGACUUUUUGUCCUACAAACUUACAUAUAGUUCUUUUAACUUAGAUUGGUUGUUUCAGAAUAUUCUUGGGGCUACCUCAUUCUCCUCUAUGUUUUUGUUCAAAUCUCACGAAUUGCGAUGGUUGCUGUAUUGUAUCCUUGUUUAAGAUAUUUUGGUUAUGGUUUGGAUUGGAGAGAAGCUACUGUCCUUGUAUGGUCUGGUUUGAGAGGAGCUGUAUCACUUUCGCUUUCGCUGUCAGUUAAGGCAAGUAUUGCUCAUGUAUUCCCACUUUUCAUGAAAUCUUAGAUAUAUCAAGAGAUUAGGGUUGAUUGAAAAAUAUAAGAAUUAUGAAUCCACAUACUAGCUAUUGCAAAAAAGUUAAAAAGAAUUCCAGAUUGCAGAUUCUGUUCUUGGAGAUUACUGCUUAUCUUAUAGAUAUUCUGGAUUAAUAUUAGUUAACAGGUGAUUUAGGAUUGUUAUUUAGGCAUCAUUCUAAUUGUUAGACUUUGAAUUGCAAUUGUACUUGCUCACGUGUAUCUAGGCCAACUCACAACCCGUGUGAUGGGCAGUUCUAUUAUUUUAUAAAAUUUAUUUGCUGUUCUUCUAACUCAAGAAACCACAUAAAGAUGUGUAUAUUUGCUGUAUUCUUUCAACUCAAGAAACCACACAAAUAUGUGUAUAAAGUUUCCUACAUUUUUGUUCAAGUAAAAAUAUAUAGUGUCCAGGUUUAAGACAUUAAGUGGUGUAGUUUAAACUAAUAUUUUAGUGAUCAUUUGAUUAACAAAUUUCAUAUGUACAGUUGUAAAAAAAUAAAUGUUAGAUUUAUUUUAUUAUUGUGGUUUUUAAGAAUGAUUUUUUUUAAUCUUUGAAUAUUUUUAUUUUUAAGAGUCGGACCAUAGACCCUUGGUAGUACUUUAGGAUAAGAUCCCUCUUGAUGCUUAUUAUGAGCAAUGCUACAUACCCCAGAAAAAUUUCUAAUUUUUUUCCUAAAUAAUGAGUUUAAUUGGCGGAUAUAUGUGCUUGGGGUGGGGGGAGGGGGGGGGGUCCCAUUAUUAAUAGUGGGACGCAAACCAAUCAAAAGUUGUCAACUAAGGUUUGGGAAUAUUUUGGAAAAAGGGUCUCUAGCAUUUUCUCCAUAAUGUAUACUACUUGGAACUGAGAUCAGAUCUCAAUUUCAAAAGAGCCCACUUAUCAGGACAAUUUCAUGGGAAGUUUUCAAAUCUAGUUCAGCAGUUGUACAAAUGUGAAUUCAUAUCAUAGCUAGGAAAGUGCUUCUGUUUUUUAAGGAUUAUUACUUUCAUGCAUGAAAUGUGCUUUAAAUUUUUGUUCUCUUACAAAGUUUGAUGCUGACAUUUAAACAUUUUGGGUGUUCCAGCGUUCUAGCGACAGUUCAUCAUAUAUAAGCCCUGAGACGGGAAUUUUGGUAUGUUUUGCUCUUAUACAUAUUAAACAAACUGUUAAACUCCAAGUCUUCUACCUGAAUUAUAUAUGCUUUUACCUUUAUGAUGAAGUUGGCAAUGCAAAAAUUUUAAUUUGGAAGGCACUUUACAGUUUACACACUUCAAUAUAUGUACCCAGUAACUGUUUGCAGCAUAUUCCAGUGAGUCGGUUAUUGUAAUCCACAAUUUCUUACUGCACACUCCUAACUUCUCUUUGUCUAAAAGGGUGUAAUUGAUCUCCUGUUGUCUUGUUCUUAAUUUUAUUUUGGGGGCUCUUCUAACUUCAUAUCUUUUCAUACGAGUAGUUCUUGUUUUGGUAAUUGUCCUACAGGUUAGCACAGAUAGUUUAUCCAAAAUUUAUUCCAUCUAAAUUAAUUCAUCCACCUUAAAUCAAUUCUUUCAACAAGAGAAAAUUUUUACGACAAAAAGGCAACUUGACAUUGUGUACCUCUGUUUCUUUAUCUAUAUUAGGUUUUCUUUCAGUAGAGUUGGAAUUUUAAGAAAUCUUGUCUGUGAAUCUGAUUCCACUGGUUUUGAUGUUUUAUAUGUACAUUUUCAAAAAAAUAUUUUAGGGUAAUGAAAUACUUGCAGUGCACAAGGUGUACACUUGGUUUACCCAUUGAUAAUGUUUAAAAAUAGAAAAUCACAAUGUUACAGCAAACAAGUCAAAAAAUUUCAGACAAGCUAGCUAUACAUACUCCAAAACAUUUUUUCAAACAGUUAGGUUGGCUAUUUCUUUUAUGGGCUUCAGAUAUUGCUGGCUGUGUCACCUUCUUAGACUUAUUGAAGCUAUAAAGUAUGUAUAUUGAAACAUUAAAUAAGUCCGGAGUGUCAAUUUUUGAGUUGCGCAGUGGCUGCAAACUGUUGCUUGGCAUAUUUCAUCGGUGCCAAGCUAAUCCUGUGUUGGGGCAGCAAAGAGUUUAUUUGCAUAAGUGUUCACUUGCUUCCUUCCACUACCUUAUAUAUUUUCAAUUUUUCACUUUGCAGUUUGUAUUUUUUACGGGAGGAAUCGUGUUUCUCACGCUCGUAUUGAAUGGAUCAACUACACAGUUUAUUUUACAAUUUCUGGAUCUGGACAAAUUGUCAGCAGCCAAGGUAAUGUGAUCAAUAGCCUACUCAGGCUUUAAACUGCAUCAGUCAAUUUUGUUAUCUCUAGGUCAUUUACGAGUGCCAUGUAAUACCAUAAACUGCUCGAAACCAGGGUGAAACUGUAGAUCAGUAGAAUGAGCGUCACAACUUUAAUAAUCAUCAAUAAGUAUAUUGUACCGAUAGCCAGUCUACUAUUGUAGCUGCUUAUUUGUAUAGUAAUUGGUUGUUAAGCCAGACUCAGAGAAAUUUUGUACACUAAAAGGUAAGCAGUUCUUUAUAAAUGGCUCAAUUGCUUUAUAUAGUUUUUCUUCUCUUGUGAAGAUAUUGCUUAAAAAUCUUAUUGCAAUGAAACAGAUAUCUCGUCUGUUUUAUCUUUCCAUGUUCUAAGUUCUUGUUAGUCUGUUCCUUUUCCAUUUUAUUGUUUAUACAUCACCACAACACACUCACAGUGUCAGAAUCAAUGCAAGAAGUGAAAAACUAACCAAUCCGAGCAAACAUUAGGUUACAUGUUCUUAUCAUAUCAAUAUUUUUUUUUUUCAAAUUAUGGAAGAACCAACGAACAGAACUGUCUGUGAGGCAUAAUGGUGAUUGUCUUCUAAUAAUGACCCGAGAAAGAUACACAGAAUAUCGUGGUUUAUCAUAUCACAACAUUAAAACUUACUAAUUUCGGUUUGGCUUUUGACCGUAAUUGUAGACAGCAACCUCUCAAGUCCCUGAGGAAUGCUAAGUUCUUAUAUUUUCAUGUCCUUGUUUUGUCGUUUGGAUAUAUUCUCUCUCAGCAGUUAGCUUUCUGUUUGACAUUUUGCAAUACUGUGGUUGGCACUUUAAUGAUUUACGAAUGUUUUCUUGUGGCAGAGGAGAAUACUGAACUACACAAAAUAUGAAAUGAUGAACAAAGCUCUAGAGGUAUUUGGUGAUUUUGGUGAUGACGAGGAACUAGGACCUGCUGACUGGCCUACAGUUAAAAAAUAUAUUGCUAGUUUAUCUGAUGUGGAAGGAGAAAAAACCCAUCCUCAUACACAGUCCGACAGUGAUGACAAGUUAGAUGUUAUGAACCUAGAAGAUAU
rnacentral:lncRNA from 1 species